AACAGGCUACUAGGAAACAGCCCUUAAUCCGAAGUGGAAUCUAACAUCUGGGAAAUCAGCCGUAUUUGCCUGUGAGAAAGAAAGGGAGAAGCCAUAUUUACAUCAGCCCAUGGUCCAAGGAAUUCGACAGCGAAGACCCAAGAUACUUCCAAGAGAAAGGCACGGUCCAUUGAAGAUUCUUUACAACCUCGGAAAGGUAAAGAGAGUCUUUAUUUAUUGAAGAUGAAGAUCCCUGAGUAUUAUUUUUUAUGGCACCUCCGUGGGCUAUGAUGGAUGACCCUGAGGGUCUCUCCAGCCCUGAAGUGAGACGGAUUUUUCUACUGAACCACGGCAACACUGAAUAGGAGGUUGUCUCUUACCUCUGUCUGUUGAUUUUCACUGUUUCCUUUCUCUUUGUGUUUUAAAAUUUUUAUCUUUUGUGGGUACAUGGUAGGUGUAUAUAUUUAUGUAUAUGUUGUGUGGAUAUAUAGUAGGUGUAUAUAUUUAGGGUGCGUGAGAUUUUAUUAUUAUUAUUAUUAUGCUUUAAGUUCUGGGGUACAUGGGCAAAACGUGCAGGUUUGUUACACAGGUAUACAUGUGCCAUGGUGGUUUGCUGCACCCAUCAACCUGUCAUCUACAUUAGGUAUUUCUCCUAAUGCUCUCCCUCCCCUAUCCCCCCACCCCCCGGCAGGCCCUGGUGUGUGAUGUUCCCCUCCCUGUGUCCAUGUGUUCUCAUUGUUCAACUCCCAUUUUUCACACCCAGACUGGGUGUGUCUGCGAGGGUGUUUUGGGAAGAGAUGAGCAUUUCAAUAGGUAGACUGAGUAAAGACCACCCUCACCAAUGGGGAUGGGUACUGUCCUCUCCACUGAGGGAUUUGCAGAGAAUGAAAAUGCAGAUGAAGGGAGACUAUAUUCUCUUUUCCUUACCUGGAACCGGGACCUCCAGCUUCUCAUGCUCUUGGACAUUGGUGCUCCCAGUGUUUGGGCCUUGACCUCCGUUUUUGUAUACAUCAGAUAUCACACACAGUCAACAUGGCAUAAUUCAUGUUCAAUGCACCGUGCAGAGAGGAUGUUUUGAUACAAGCAUGCAAUGCUUCAUAAUCACAUCAUGGAGAAUGGAGCUUGCAUGCCCUCAAGCAUUUAUCCUUUGUGUUACAAACAAUCCAAUUAUACUCUAAUAUGAUUUGGCUGUGUCCCUACUCAAAUCUCAUCUUGAAUUGUAUCUCCCAUGAUUCCCAUGUAUUGUGGUGUCCCCAACCAAAUCUCAUCUUGAAUUGUAUCUCCCAUGAUUCCCAUGUAUUGUGGUGUCCCCAACCAAAUCUCAUCUUGAAUUGUAUCUCCCAUGAUUCCCAUGUAUUGUGGUGUCCCCAACCAAAUCUCAUCUUGAAUUGCAUCUCCCAUGAUUCCCAUGUGUUGUGGUGUCCCCACCCAAAUCUCAUCUUGAAUUGUAGCUCCCAUGAUUCCCAUGUGUUGUGGGAGGGACUGGGUGGGAGAUAAAUGAAUCAUGGGGCUGGUUUCCCCCAGACUGUCCUGGAGGUCGUGAAUAAGUCUCAUGAGAUCUGAUGGUUUUAUCAGGGGAAACUGCUUUCACUGGGCUCUCAUUGUCUUCUGCCUGCCACCGUGUAAGAUGUGCCUUUCUCCUUCCACCAUGACUGUGAGGCCUCCUCAGCCAUGUGGAACUUUAGGGUGACCUCACGGAGGCAGAAAAUGGAAAGUUACACCCGUGUCGACUGUUUCACCAGCUUCUGUGAAUUGAGCCGGGACGAAUCAUCACGUUGAGGUUAAAACAGUCUCCUACUCACAAUAUACAAAGAACUGAAACAGCAACAACAACAACAAACAAAUAACACUAUUAAGAUGUGGGCAGGCCGGGCGCGGUGGCUCACAACUGUAAUCCCAGCACUUUGAGAGGCCAAGG
rnacentral:lncRNA from 1 species